GAAUAUAAUAGCUCGGAUGGUUAGAGGGUGGUGCUGAUAAUGCCAAGGUUACAGGUUCGAUUCCUGUAUGGGACA